AUAAUUUAUUUUAAUUAUGAUGAUGAAAAUGUAACUAAAUACCUGGUGCACGUCAGGAAAAAGACCUAGGAGUCCGAUGGACUUAGUGCUUCUCACAAGUAGACAAAUUAUAGAAGCUUUUCAGAACAGGGUUUUGGGUUAAUUAAUACAUUAAUGGUAUCAAGUCUAUGGUAUUGUAGGUUAGUUUUGAAGUGCCCAGGUUACUUGUGUUAUGUAAUCAGAAAUAUUACAAAAAGAGUAUAACAGCACUUCCAAAGUGGAUCAUCUCAUUUAUGAUAAGGUGAGCCUAAGAUUUAAUUGUACUUUCAUUGAAUUGAUAUAUAUGUUAAAAAUGUCAGUUUAUAACUAAUCUGAAAAAUGUCUGUAUAUAGUAUACUUCGGAAAUAGUAAGAGUUUGCGUUGCACAGCAGUUUCAUUUAUUUGAGAAUUGUGCAUCAGAUGUUUUUCUAAUUACUGAAAUGUUUUCACAGGGCUAGGAUUUUACCAUCAAGUAAAAUUAAUAAACUUCAUCAGACGAGAAAUUUAUCAGUGCAGAUGUUAUGGCUGCCAGGAAAAGUUUUCCAGUAAAGCCGAUGUUUUUAAACAUGUGGACAAAGCUAAACAUAUAAUGAAAUUGCCUGAUAUAUCAGUGUGGGACCAGCCACAGUAUUAUUUUCCAACCUAUGAAAAUGAUGCUCUGCUUUGCACAUUGUCAGAUGAUGAAGCAGAAUCAGACAAUACUGAUCAAGACAAAGAUAUACCUGUAAUUUCUGAAGAUAUUUCUAAUUUGAGAGCACUGAAAAAGAGCAGUGUUUUAAAUCAACUGCUAAAAUCUAAAUCAACAGCCGCUAACUGGGAUUUAUGAAACAAACGUAAAUACAGGUCUUUGUUUAAUUUUGUUUGCUUUUGUAUUAAU